rnacentral:lncRNA from 1 species
AUAAUUUGAUUAAGGAUGGUUCGAAUUUUUACAAUCUGGGUACGCAACAAUGAAAGUAGGAACAUUAACAGUGUAUUUGAGAAAACAAAACAGUGUAAGAUCCCAAUAUUAUUGCUUCUCGACACAUAUUUGACAGAGAUAAAAACAACACCAACAUAAUAGAAUCAAAUAAAUCUCAAUAAUUAACUUAAUAAUCUAGUACAAAAAUUGAAAAGAAAAAAAAAUCAAUUUUACAUAAUCUCAAACAACACAAUCAAACGCAAAAUACAAAGAGGGGAACAAUGGAAUCAUCACCAUAAACCCAAAAAUCAAAAUAGUCACUGCCGCUGCCAUAAAUUAGUCGCCGCCAUCUUUAAACAAUCACCUCCGUGUAAUUCUAUCAUCUAUGAUGUGUAGUUGCGUUGAGAGUGGAAGUUGUAAAAGAAGAGAAGAAAGAAAGAGUGAACUUGGAGUUUGCUAGAGAAAUAAAAAAGGAUUGCCAUGAGGAAGAAGUUACUGAUAAGUAUGCAAAAUAGAGAUACAAAUAGAAAAUUGUUCCAUCAAAUUCAAAACCCCAGAUUUUUACACGCCAUUGAUAAUGUUGUUACCCGCGUGAGACAAAAGUAAAGAAGGGAGGACCAGUCUUUUUUUAUUUAAAAAAUGAUAAUGUAUUGAUCCAAUAUGCCAACCGCUAGAUUGAUCCAAUGGUAGUUAUAUU